CGGCAUUGCAGGGUAGCUAUAUUCGGACGGGAUAACUGCUGAAAGCAUCUAAGCAGGAAGCCUCCUUCAAAACGAGCAUUCCCUUGAGAGCCGUGGAAGACCACCACGUUGAUAGGCCGGAUGUGGAAGCGCAGCGAUGUGUGAAGCUGACCGGUACUAAUAGCUCGAUUGUCUUGAUCGU
rnacentral:rRNA from 1 species